UUGUGGACUUUGUUGAAAGAACCAUCUAAAUGCAUUUCUUUUAUUUUUGUUUGUUGGCCUAUUUCUUAUAUUCUAAAUAAAUUUAUUUUUAAAUAAAAUAUAAAUCCUAAUUGUCAAGAUAUAAACAAAAAUUUUAUUACCUUUGCUAACACAAAUCUUAUUGUUCCGCAUGACCUCAGAUCUCCCUUAGCGUGGUCUCCUCGAGAGCGGUAGACUGUUGCCCUCUGUUUCCAUUUCUUUAUGACAUCAAGGCCGAGGUCUCAGCACACGCACUCUUCUCCAAAUGCGAACGUCUCCAUAUGGGAUGUGGACGGGAGUGAGAUUCAAGUUAGGCCGGUGGGGCCCACGGUCUCUCGGCCUCCACCCCAGGAGAAAAAACAAUAAAAAAUUUAAAAGAGAGUGGGGUUCACAUGCCACGAUUCAAAAGCACGCAAGCCAGUUGACCCGGGAACUGCGGGAAUCCCCCCGUCUCCAUCGCUCGCCCGCCGGCACCAUUCCGCGGCGUCACUGGCGUACGUCCGGUCCAAAACCAUUCGACCCGGUCCGAUGUUCGUCUUCUUUGGGUUUUUGGAACCCACCCCUCUCCCUCUCUCUCAUCUUGUUUUUUUUGGUAUAAUCUAUCUCAUCUUAUUUGAGGGUGGAACGCUUGAACUAAGCUAUAAAUCUAAACGACCGUCUGAUUGGUUACUUAGGCUAUCAAGAAAAAUAUAUUAUAUACCGUUUGAUGGAUGAAAAGAUCUCAAACGUGGACGGUUCAAAGCAUGUCUAGUUUUCACAUCAAAAAAUAAAGCAUGCUUGGUUUGAUAUAAGUGGGCUGAGCAAGAGCCUACUUUAUUAAAAUGGCUUCUGACUCUACUUCCAAAAAUGAAUCCACUUCGAACUAUUUUUUUUUCAAAAUAAAUCAUGGUAGGAAACCUAGUUUGGCUUGAUUUUAGGCCAAUCAAAAAGUUGAGGUAGGCUCGUACUAGCCCGAAUUAAAUUUAGAUUCCUAAUUAUGGGCAACCAAACAAAUCU
rnacentral:lncRNA from 1 species